GUGUGUCCAUUUAAAACAUGGCUUGCGCUCACCCGAUAUUUAAAUCAACCCGACAACAACCGCAAACAUUACAGUAAUUAAGACAAAAUGAUAUCCGACCCGCUUAUUUACAAAAUGUGCGCUUUUGGUUAAUGUAGCCUAACAUGCAGUGUAGCCUAAUUGAGCCUGUAAAAACAUAAACAGGAACAGAAACUAAGCCCUCCUUAGCACAGUCUUCCCACAUCUCCAUUUGGGUAAACUUUGUGUAGUUUUGGUGUAAAUGAGGCCAAAGCACAUGGAAAUAUAUGUGUCAUAUGUGUUUUUCCUACCGUAUGUGUAAACAGGGCCUCAGUAGUUAUCUGUCGAGCUUCUAGCAACAGCGUUUUAGUUGCAAACAAAAUCAACCUGAGCGUGCUCAGGUGACGUGCUAGACGAGCUCAGGUGACGUCCUCAGGUGACGUGCUAGACGAGCGAGCUCAGGUGAUGAGCUCAGGUGAUGUGCUCAGGUGACGAGCUAGACGAGCUCAGGUGACGUGAUAGACGAGCGAGCUCAGGUGACGUCCUCAGGUGACGUGAUAGACGAGGCGCUGUUGCUCAUCUGUCUAUCAUGGUGCAAAGCCCGCCCAGACAAUUUGAUUGGUCCAAACAGCUCUGGUUCGGACAUAGUUGCUUCAGACCGAACUUCCCGAGCUCAAAUGUUGUGGGCGGGGCUCAGUUCGGCUGGCUUCCAGUGCCGAGUUUGGGACAAGUCAUGUUGGUCGUGCUUGUUUAUUUUGGCUGUUAUACUUUAAAUGGCUUCAGAAGAAGUGCAUAGCACAUAACCAGCACUGCUGUCAUCUUCUCUAAGAACCUCUCCAAAUGCUUCCCGUAUGAUAGAUAGAUAGAUAGAUAGAUAGAUAGAUAGAUACUUUAUUGAUCCCCAAGGGGGAAUAUGUGCUUUUCCUCAGAGGAGAGUCUUUUAUCAUUUAAAAUUCUCGCGUCUCCAGCUUCUCUACCGUCUCCAUCUUCAUCUGUCUAUCACACAGGUAGAUAGGUCACACAGGUAGAUAGGCCACACAGGUAGAUAGGUAGAUAGGUCACACAGGUAGAUAGGUCACACAGGUAGUCUAUGGGGCAAGUUCACCCUCCAUCACACAGGUAGUCUAUGGGGCAAGUUCAUACUGCUAUCACACAGGUAGUCUAUGGGGCAAGGUCAUACACAGGUAGUCUAUGGGGCAAGUUCAUGCUGCAUCGAUUGAAGUCGAUUGAAUCUGUGUGUUUGUGUGCAUGUGUCUCAAUCCACCUUUUAUAUUUAGAAUUAAAUGAAAUGAGCUGUAUGACAUGCCAAAUUAGAUAAUUCAUUAUUAAAUCGCAAUACUUUUACAUUCCCUCACUAUGCUUUUGCAUUCCCUCAUAAUAACGUUUUGCGUUCCCUCAUAAUAACGUUUUGCAUUCCCUCAUAAUAACGUUUUGCAUUCCUUCACAAUAGGCUAUUUCAUUAACCUACGAGCACAUGGAGUUGGCUAGCCUACUAUAUGGAAAAUACGUUGAAGUUCCCUUUGAGCUGGAUCUGCUCCAAAAGAUGAUGCUUCUCCACUGCUAUGCUACACCUUCCUACAAAGUCAUGUGAAAACUGCACUGUACUGUUGACAUCGCGCACGACGGAGCCUCUGGUUUAAUAAACGGAAGCUCUUGAUAGCGCACGCCACUAACGUCCAUCACGAAUGUUUAUGGAAUAAAACAGGUGUGGCUGUAAACAAUAAACAGGUGCGGCUGAUUGGUA